AUGAGUCAAAAGCAAGAAGGCAUGAUAACAGUGUCGAAACCACAGCAGCAUUACUCCCGGAAAGCUGAGCAACCCCAAACUUAUCUUCUAUGUGACAACAGGCAGUCAGUGAGGCAACAAUUCUUGAGCACCAAGCAUAUAGCUGCAUGCAAAAAAAUACAAAAGUUUAUUAUUCUAGUUUGGAUAAACAACUUAAUUAAACACUAA